GCUGGGAGAGGAGCGCCUGGGGGAGGCGUUCGAAGUCCAAGUCUGUUUCUUCCUAUCCCUGCUGGAGAAGAAUGAUGGGGGGGGGGAGGGCGGAUCUGUGC